GAUUUAAGAACUAAAUUCUACAGGCAGCGUUUGACAGCGUGAUGUCUCACAGGAAGUUCUCCGCUCCCAGGCUUGGGCCCCUGGGCUUCCUGCCUUGGAAGCAUAGCAGUUGGCACCAUGGGAAGGUGAAGAGCUUCCCUAAGGAUGACUCCUCCAAGCCCGUGCAACUCCCAGCCUUCCUUGGCUACAAGGCUGGCAUGACCCACAUUGUGAGGGAUGUGGAUAGGCCAGGGUCCAAGGUGAACAAGAAGGAAGUUGUGAGGGCUGUGACCAUCGUGGAGACUCCGCCCAUGGUGAUUGUGGGCAUUGUGGGCUAUGUGGAAACUCCUCGAGGCCUCUGUACCUUCAAGACUAUCUUUGCUGAGCAUAUCAGUGAUGAGUGCAAAAGGCGCUUCUAUAAGAACUGGCAUAAAUCUAAGAAGGCCUUCACCAAAUACUGCAAGAAGUGGCAAGAUGAAGACGGCAAGAAGCAGCUGGAGAGGGACUUCAGCAGCAUGAAGAAGCACUGCCGGGUCAUCCGUGUCAUUGCCCACACCCAGAUGUGCCUGCGUCCUCUACGCCAGAAGGCCCACCUCAUGGAGAUCCAGGUGAACGGAGGCACUGUGGUGGAGAAACUGGACUGGGCCUAUGAGAGGCUAGAGCAUCAGGCCCCUGGGAACCAAGUGUUUGGGCAGGAUGAGAUGAUCGAUGUCACUGGGGUGACCAAGGCAAAGGCUACAAAGGGGUCACCAGCCACUGGCACACCAAGAAGCUGCCCCAGAAGACCCACCAAGGACUGCACAAGGUUGCCUAUAUUAGAGCAUGGCAUCCCACCCGGGUGGCCUUCUCUGUGGCUCGGGCUGAGCAGAAGGGUUACCAUCACUGCACUGAGAUCAACAAGAAGAUUUGUAAGAUUGGCCAGGGCUACCUCAUCAAGGAUGGCAAACUGAUCAAGAACAAUGCCUCUAAUGAUUACGAUCUGUCUGACAAGAGUAUCAGCCCUCUGGGUGGCUUUGUCCACUAUGGUGAAGUGACCAAUGACUUUGCCAUGCUCAAAGGCUGCGUUGUGGGAACCAAGAAGCGAGUGCUCACCCUGCGCAAGUCCUUGCUGGUGCAGACCAAACAGCGGGCCUUGGAGAAGAUUGAUGUCAAGUUUAUUGACACUACCUCCAAAUUUGGCCAUGGCUGCUUCCAGAUAAUGGAGGAGAAGAAAGCAUUCACGGGACCACUUAAGAAAGACCAAAUUGCUAAGGAAGAAGGAGCCUAAUGUCAUAACAGAUUGUACAGCUGGUGGAAUCUCAAUAAAGUUAUCUUUCAGUG